rnacentral:rRNA from 1 species
UACGUAGGGAGCAAGCGUUGUUCGGAUUUACUGGGCGUAAAGGGCGCGUAGGCGGCAGAUCAAGUCAGCUGUGAAAUCUCCAAGCUUAACUUGGAAACUGCCGUUGAUACUAUCAUUCUUGAAUCUCGUGGAGGUAAGCGGAAUAUGUCAUGUAGCGGUGGAAUGCUUAGUUAUGACAUAGAACACCAAUUGCGAAGGCAGCUCACUACACAAAGAUUGACACUGAGGCACGAAAGCGUGGGGAUCAAACAGG